UGCCUACGGGAGGCAGCAGUAGGGGAUAUUGCACAAUGGGCGGAAGCCUGAUGCAGCAACGCCGCGUGAGUGAUGAAGGCCCUCGGGUCGUAAAACUCUUUUCAAGAGGAAGAGGAAGGACGGUACUCUUGGAAUAAGCCUCGGCUAACUACGUGCCAGCAGCCGCGGUAACACGUAGGAGGCGAGCGUUAUUCGGAUUUACUGGGCGUAAAGCGCGUGUAGGCGGCUGAUCAAGUUGGAUGUGAAAGCUCCCGGCUUAACUGGGAGAGGACGUUCAAAACUGAACAGCUUGAGUAUGAGAGAGGAAAAUGGAAUUCCGGGUGUAGUGGUGAAAUGCGUAGAUAUCCGGAGGAACACCAGUGGCGAAGGCGAUUUUCUGGCUCAAGACUGACGCUCAGACGCGAAAGCUAGGGUAGCAAACGGGAUUAGAUACCCGAGUAGUCG
rnacentral:rRNA from 1 species